rnacentral:tRNA from 1 species
GGGGUUGUGGCUCGGUGGUAGAGUGCUCACCUAGCACAUGUGAGGCACUGGGUUCAAUCCUCAGCACCACA